rnacentral:lncRNA from 1 species
GCUGCUGAAGUUUUUUACCAAUGUAUCUUGUGUGAUGAUUAUCAUUAUUUCAUUUUAUCAUUAAUUUUUGGCUUUUGUCUAUACGUUAUAGUGUUAUAAGUCAUGAGACUUCAAUAAUUUAAAUUGAUGCUGAAUUGAUAUUGGCUAAGUUUUCUCUUGUGAUUCUAAUAAUUAUACAAUUCUGCCAAAAUAGGAUUUAAACUGAGAUCAUGAUGUUUCCACAAUAGUUACAUGAAUAGAAUGGAAUAUAUGAUAGUAGUGUAUGUAUCUAAACUGUGACUUCUAAACUCGGUGGUUAAUAUUUUGCUGUGU